rnacentral:rRNA from 1 species
UGGGGAAUAUUGGACAAUGGGCGCAAUGGAUCCAGCCAUGCCGCGUGCAGGAUGACGGUCCUAUGGAUUGUAAACUGCUUUUAUACAGGAAGAAACACCUCUACGUGUAGAGACUUGACGGUACUGUAAGAAUAAGGAUCGGCUAACUCCGUG